rnacentral:rRNA from 1 species
AGAGACAGCAGCAGCCGCGGGAAUACGUAGGUCCCGAGCGUUGUCCGGAUUUAUUGGGCGUAAAGCGAGCGCAGGCGGUUUGAUAAGUCUGAAGUUAAAGGCUGUGGCUCAACCAUAGUUCGCUUUGGAAACUGUCAAACUUGAGUGCAGAAGGGGAGAGUGGAAUUCCAUGUGUAGCGGUGAAAUGCGUAGAUAUAUGGAGGAACACCGGUGGCGAAAGCGGCUCUCUGGUCUGUAACUGACGCUGAGGCUCGAAAGCGUGGGGAGCGAACAGGAUUAGAUACCCCGGUAGUCCCUGUCUCUUAUACC